AUGGUAGAAGGCUCAGAGGCAGACAUCUCUAAUCUUAAGUUCCUCCUCCUCUGCUUCCAACAAAUGUCUGGCCUCAAGAUCAACUUUGACAAGAGUGAUGUGAUGGUGAUGGGCUAGUCUCCGGCAGAAUGCCUGGACAUUGCCAACCGGCUUAACCGCCGCUUGGGCUCCUUCCCCACGGCAUACUUGAGAACGCCCAUUAGUGACUCUCGGCUAACCGUCGCUCACUUGCGUCCGGCCGUGGCCAAGAUGCAAACGUGCAUAGAGCCUUGGCAGGGUAGGUGGCUGUCGAAGGCGGCAAGGGCGAUUCUCAUCAACUCCUCCCUAUCCAGCCUCCUCUUGUUCCUCAUGAGUUUCUAUAGCCUUCACGAGACUCUGCAUCAUGAGAUCGCCAAAGUCCAGUCUCAUUUCUGCUGGGCAGGCGAUAACAGUAAGCAGAAAUACCAUAUGGUUAGCUGGCCAGACAUCUGCAAGCCUCGGGAACAAGGAGGCCUCGGGAUCAUGUGCUCUAAGCGCAUGAAUAUCGCCCUUUUAUCCCACUGGUUGUGGCGCAUUUCGCAAGGGCAAGGCGGCCUCUGGUUAGACAUCAUCCGGAACAAAUACCUGCGUGGGCAACCCCUAGCCUUCUGUUAG
rnacentral:rRNA from 1 species